AAUAUAACCAUAACUAACAUUAGCUUAUUUUAUUUCACAGUUCUUAGUAAUGCUUCAGUGUGUGGUACUCAAAACAUGGGCUAACACAAAAGGGAGUGUUGCACAGCUCUCAUGUACUCGGCCCUGUAACAUGGCUGGGAGAAUGUGGGACUGGUAUACCAGUAUCCUUCCUCACAUAAGGUGGCGGUAAGAUCAUUACAUCAGACAUAGAGAUCCCAAGCCCCUCAUAAUGGUGUAAACUGAUGAAAUGCCAGCCUGCCAUUCCACUUUGUCACUGAUUCAUCCAUGGAGAGGAACAAAAAACUUGCUGAAAGGAGUGUUAUUCACUUACCUUGCAGUGCCGCCUGGACCUGCUACCCUGGGAAGUGGUUUGAGGAACUUCAGAGGGGAAAUGCCUGGCUGUCUGAGGCAGGACGGCCCCUGAACUGUGCUCCUCAAGCAGCCCUCUCGUGAGGUUGAUCCUGAAUUGCAGGGAAUCACUGGAGUGCCCUAUCAAUAGUAAGGGGCCAGUAAGGACAUGGUGACGGACCCAGAGAUCCCAAGUCCCUCGUAGUGGUGGAUGUCAGUGUUGGAUCCAGUGUAACCACUUUCCUUUCACUCCAGGUGGUGUUUUCUCCAGCUGUUCUGUGGAAUAGUGGUUUGUUUCCUGAUCUCCUCAGCAUUAAACCUCUGUGGAAGAUGCAGGUGGGGUCUGACUUUGAGGUCCAGGAGGGGUAAAAUUGCUGAUUGUUUACAUUGCAAUGCAGACUUCAG